AUUGAACGCUGGCGGCAGGCUUAACACAUGCAAGUCGAGCGGGGGAAGGUAGCUUGCUACCGGACCUAGCGGCGGACGGGUGAGUAAUGCUUAGGAAUCUGCCUAUUAGUGGGGGACAACAUCUCGAAGGGGAUGCUAAUACCGCAUACGUCCUACGGGAGAAAGCAGGGGAUCUUCGGACCUUGCGCUAAUAGAUGAGCCUAAGUCGGAUUAGCUAGUUGGUGGGGUAAAGGCCUACCAAGGCGACGAUCUGUAGCGGGUCUGAGAGGAUGCACCGCAACAAUGGGACUUGGCCACGGCCCAGACUCCUACGGGGGGCAGCAGUGGGGAAUAUUGGACAAUGGAGGGAACCCAGACCCAGCCAUGCCGCGUGUGUGAAGAAGGCCUUAUGGUUAUAAAGCACUUUAAGCGAGGAGGAGGCUACUCUAGUUAAUACCUAGGGAUAGUGGACGUUACUCGCAGAAUAAGCACCGGCUAAAUCUGUGACAGCCGCCGCGGUAA
rnacentral:rRNA from 1 species